rnacentral:lncRNA from 1 species
GAGAGGAGAGAGAGAGAAUUUUAAUAUUAUUUUUUAGUUUUCGGCGGACACAACAUCUUUGUUUGUAUGUGGUGCUGAGGAUCGAACCUGGGCAGCACACAUGCCAGGCGAGCGCGCUACCUCUUGAGCCACAUCCCCAGCCCUUUUAGGAGCUCUUUAUAAGGUUAAAGAAGUACUCUAUUUCUGGUUUGCUGAGUUUUUAAUCAUGUUAAAAAAUUUUAAAUGCUCUUUUUGAAUCAAUUGAUACAAUGAUACAAUCAUGUGAUUUUUAGUCUGUUCACAUGAUGGGUUAUAUUGGUUUAUUUAUUUUUAGUACUGAAGAUUGAACCCAGGGGCACUUAACCAUUGAGCCACAUCCUCAGCUCUUUUUUGUAUUUUAUUUAGAGACAGGGUAUUGAUGAGUUGCUUAGGCCCUUGUUAAAUUGCUGAGGCUGGCUUUGAACUCACGAGCCUCUCAUGCUGCUGAGAUUAUAGGCAUGCACCACCACGCCUGACAUAUUAGUUGAUUUUCAACUAUUGAACCAUUCUUAUAUUCCUAGGAUAAUUUCCAUUGGCCAUGUGUAUGAUUUUUUAAAAAAUAUUUGAUGAGCCAAUAUUUUGUUGAUUAUUUUUAUUUCUCUGUUUACAGAGAAUAUAGUCUGUAUUUUAUUUUCUUGUAAUGCUUUUGGCAUUAGGGUAAUUCUGGCCUUUAAAAUCCCUUGGAAAUUGGUCCCUUCUGUUCUAAUCUCUGGAAGAGAUUGUGUGGAAUUGCUACUAUUUAAUUCUUAAAUAUUUGGUAGAAUAUGACAGUAUCUUGGUCUAGAAUUUUAUUUAUUGGAAUUAAAAAAAUUUUUUUAGUUGUAGAUGGACACAAUAUCUUUAUUUUAUUCAUUUAUUUUUAUGUGGUGCUGAGGAUCAAAUCCAGUGCCUAAUGUAUGCAAGUCAAGCGCUCUACCACUGAGUCACAACCCCAGCCUUAUUGGAAAAUUUUUAAUGUCAAAAUUAAUUUUUUU